AUUGAACGCUGGCGGCAGGCUUAACACAUGCAAGUCGAGCGGGGGCUUCGGUCCUAGCGGCGAACGGGUGAGGAAUGCCUGGGAAUCUGCCUGGUAGUGGGGGAUAACGAUUCGAAAGGGUCGCUAAUACCGCAUACGUCCUACGGGAGAAAGCAGGGGACCUUCGGGCCUUGCGCUAUCAGAUGAGCCCAGGUCGGAUUAGCUAGUAGGUGAGGUAAAGGCUCACCUAGGCGACGAUCCGUAGCUGGUCUGAGAGGAUGAUCAGCCACACUGGAACUGAGACACGGUCCAGACUCCUACGGGAGGCAGCAGUGGGGAAUAUUGGACAAUGGGCGAAAGCCUGAUCCAGCCAUGCCGCGUGUGUGAAGAAGGCCUC
rnacentral:rRNA from 1 species